AAUGUUUCAUUAAAAGAGAAAUGUGAGUCAUAGAAAUGUAUCACAUUAAUCUGAAAAAGAGGAUUCCAGCCUGGCCAUGAUCAGUCAGUUACAUUUUUUAAAUGCCUAGGCUAAACAUUGGAGGGAAAUAUGCCAAUAUAAUAGAAUUGAUUGGCUCUGGGUAGUAGAGUUGAUGGUAUUUGCUUUUCUUCUUUACACUUUUUAAAAAUUUUGUAAAUAUUCUAAAAAUAUGUCAUAAAAUAAACAUAGCAAAACAGCUGAAAUGAAAUAUGCCAGAAUGUUAGAAAUAUGCCCAAAAAAACCUCUUUUUCCCCAAUUCUUUGUACUUUUUUUUUUGCUUUGCAAUUUUUCUGCAGCGAGAAUGUAUUACUUUUAAAUAAGAAAAACAGUUUUCAAAACUAUGUCAGAGAGGGACGAUUACCCACUGCCCAUGCAGUGUUUCAGGGGUUUCAGGUGGAAGUGGGUCACUGCAGAGCUGUAAUUUAUUAAGUGCCUUAUCUGAUGUAAGUUUUUAUCUUCACAACGUAAAUGAGGGGGAGUCGCUGUUAUACCCACGUAUGGAAGAUGAAAGCAUGGAUGGUAAGGCACAGAAGUGAAGUAGUUUAGUCAAGGCUAGUGAGUGGCAGAACUAGGAUUCACACCUACUCUUUGUGACAUUGACUCUUAGGCUGUUUCCACCACUUUUCCAGUAGAAAAUUGAUUUUUGAUUGUAAACUAAUUUGAGUUGGCUCGACUUAGUGACUGAUUUUCUUUAACUGAUGUCAAAAGAGGCUGACGCUUAAGCCAGAAGGCAGUUUAUAAACUUUUGGCUGGAGCAGUGUAGCAGCAGGACCAGAAUUCUAUGAUAGCUGGUCACUGUAUCCCUUCUGCUGUGAGACAGUUUGUGUGGGAGGCCCAAUGGGCAGAGUCAGAGCUCAGAAUCCUGGCUAACCUUGAAUGUGACAUGUCAUUGAACUGUGACAGUUCUGGUAUAAAAAUAUGCCUCCCAGGUAGAGCAGAAUACUUUCACCAGCUGAUCACAGAACGCUCUUCCUUGGACAGAGGAAAAUCUCUUUUACUUCACCUCUAUGAAGACACUCACCCAGUAACAAAUUUUUUUUUUUUUUUUUUUGACACAGACUCUGGCUCUGUUGCCCAGGCUGGAGUGCAGUGGCACGAUCUUGGCUCACUGCAAGCUCCACCUCCUGGGUUCGUGCCAUUCUCAUGCCUCAGCCUCCCGAGUAUCUGAGACUACAGGCACCCACCACCACGCCCGGCUAAGUUUUUGUAUUUUUAGUAGAGACAGGGUUUCACCAUUUUAGCCAGGAUAGUCUCGAUCUCCUGACCUUAUGAUCCACUCACCUCAGCCUCCCAAAGUGCUGGGAUUACAGGCGUGAGCCACCAUGCCAGCCAGUAACAAAUAUUUUGUUCACACAAGUUUAUUGGGUUACAGCUCUUCAGUUAUUUUUCAAUCCUGAGCCUAGAUGGUCAUUAUCUUAAGUGCAUUGGGCAUAUUGUUAAGCCUUUAUAAUGAAAAUUUGUAAACAUCUUUAUAUAGUAGCAUUCUGCAAAUGGUUAACCCAUCCAUUUAUGCUCAUUUCAUCCUAAAAAAUACAACCCCCCAAAUCUGGAAGUAUCUUAUUCUAGACUCCUAUAUGCUGAAUGCAAAUAUCAAAAGCGGUAAAGUUUCACUGGCUUCUUCAACCUGAAUUGAACAGAAGAAUUACAUAUUUGAUUGUAAUUCAUAUAGGCCAACUGUGUUAUUUGGCAUGGCUCUUCACUAAAGCACCAAGCACUGAUUUGAAGUAUGUUGCAUUUUUUGGAAUUAAAAAAAGUUUUCAUGAAAAAAUAAAUACAUAAUUGAAAAGCCAACAUGAUUGCUGUUCACUACACCCUUUUGGCAGUAUUCUAUGAAAAUAAUCCAAGUCUGUAUGUAAGAGCUUUCAGAAAAUGAUACAUAGCUAAGUCUCCAAAAAAUGCUAAUAAGCAAUGACCACAAUUAAAUAGAAUGCAUGAAACAGGAAGCUUAAGAGACCAGGCUGGUCACAGUGGCUCACACCUGUAAUCUCAGCACUUUGGGAGGCCAAGGCGGGAGGAUUGCUUGAGGGCAGGAGUUUGAGAUCAGCCUAGGUGACAUAGUGAGAUCCUGUCCCUAUUUAUAAAAUAAAAAUUUUUAAAAAGGAAAAAAAAAAAAAAAGAUACCAGAAGUGCCAGGCACGGUAUCUCCCACCCGUAACCCCAGCACUUUGGGAGGCUGAGGCAGGUGGAUCACGAGGUCAGGAGAUGGAGACCAUCCUGGCUAACAUGGUGAAACCCUGUCUCUCCUAAAAAGUACAAAAAAUUAGCCAGGCAUGGUGGUGGGCGCCUGUAGUCCCAGCUACUCAGGAGGCUGAGGCAGGAGAAUGGCAUGAACCUGGGAGGUGGAGCUUGCAGUGAGCCGAGAUUGCACCACUGCACUCCAGCCUGGGCGACAGAGCGGGACCCUGUCCCAAAAAAAAAAAAAAAAAAAAAAAAGGUGCCAGAAGCAUUUAUGAGUCCAAAGCAGAAGCAACUUCUAGUGACCACAGUGAGAAUGACCAACUAUUUUAAGUAUUCAAGGCUUGCAAGCUAUUCUUACUUUGCUACUAGAGGCCACGUUUCACAGAACCCUGCCUAAACUCAAUGAUAAUAGCUAAGAUUUAUUGAGUUUUUGGUUUAUGUCAGAUACUGUAUUAAACACUUUCCAAAGAUUGUUUCAUUUGCAUUUUCAGAAAAGGCCAAUGAGAUUAGUGUUAUUAUUAGUAAUUUUCCAAAAGUCACACCAGAAGUUAUUGGUGGAGUCAGGGUUUGAACCCACACUCCAGGAUACACGUGCUGACCUAAUACUGCAGGUGCCACACUUGAUACCUUCUUAAAUGCAUGAGAGGAUGUUUAAGGUCCUCUUAUAUGUGACAAGAGAUAUCUAGGGUAGGAGUUUUUUUGGUAGUGUCUUUACUGUGAUCUGUUGGCAUUCGCGCCAGUUAAAUACAUGUCGUAUUUUAUAAAUUCAAAGAAAAUGGCCGUGGUGUAACUGGAGGCACUUUCUGAUAAGAAGAGUAAAAGCCUGUUGACAUGAUAUAGGGUGGAGAGUUUUAUUCAUUCAUACAUUCAAUACAAAGUUUUUGAUAAAAUAGAUAUGCCAAGUGAUGUGGAGAAGAGAAGGAAAUGUCUUUGUCCCUGCUUUUUUUCUGUUAAGGAAUUUGCCAUUUGGAAGUGUGUAUGUUGAGAAGCUGGAGAGCAUGAUGGUCAAGAGUGCGGGCCCUGGAGUUCCUGUACUUUAGUAUUUGACUUUUGUGAACAUUUUUAUUUUGAUAAUUUUUCUGAAACAACUGAUAGAGAGGAAAAU